rnacentral:misc_RNA from 1 species
GAUGAAGAACGUAGCGAAAUGCGAUAAGUAAUGUGAAUUGCAGAAUUCAGUGAAUCAUCGAAUCUUUGAACGCAUCUUGCGCUCCUUGGUAUUCCGAGGAGCAUGCCUGUUUGAGUGUCAUUUAACUUCUCAACCACAUUGGAUAUUUUUUUUCCGAUGCCGGCUUGGAUGUGGGGGUUGUUUGCAGGCUUUUUGUAACAAAAAAGGUCGGCUCCCCUGAAAUGUAUUAGUGGUAUCUGAGGCUAUUACUAUUAGGUGUGAUAAUUAUCUAUGCCUUUUGGGUAUGCCGCAUGAACAGAUUAUGCUGCUUCUAACGAAAACUAUUUUGAUGAAUUUGACCUCAAAUCAGGUAGGACUACCCGCUGAACUUAAGCAUAUCAAUAGCGGAGGA